rnacentral:lncRNA from 1 species
GGGGGGGGGGAGGACUCAAGAUAACAAGUGGAGACAACCUCUGAAUAGAAUUAGUAAGUUUAGUCCCAGGGUAUUGAUUCUCCUCCAACAUGCGUAGGUUUGUUUUGCAAGAUCUCUAUCCCUAUCAAAUACUUUUCAUUUAUCAUUUAUCAUCAAAUUUCGAAAUCAAAUAUUAGCCCUUGAUUUACAUAUUGAUCAUACUGCAUGCAGAUUGUUUAUACUCUUCAGGUCACGAAAAAAAAAGGAAAAACAACAAGAAAAAAUUACUUUCGGAAUUUAAAGUCCAUAAUGCUC